CGUAGUUCAGUUGGUAGAGCGCCAGAUUGUGGUUCUGGUUGUCGAGGGUUCGAGUCCCUCCG
rnacentral:tRNA from 1 species